rnacentral:lncRNA from 1 species
GGGCUGCCCAUUCUACACCCCUGGCAUUGUGGACAUGUUAUGAUAUGUUUAAGAGGAGGUCCUGAGAAGCACCCGUCGUGGACCGGGCACUAUUGAAAUUUGUAGAGGGCUACUGGUAACAAAUUCAUCUUAAUGUGAAUUAUUUGUAUUGUGACGCAUUCAUAUGAUUAUAUAUUUAUUGAACUAUUUUUAUGUUCUGCUCACUAGGCUCUUGUAGCUUAUUCCUUUCCCUUAACUCCAGAGUUCCAAGAUCAGAGUUAGCUCAGGAAAGUCGACUGAGUUGCUGGUAUAAUCUAUUGUAAUAGUAUAGUUGUGGACAUGUAUUGUUUUAUGGAUUAGAAUUGUGCUUUACCCUAGUGUUUGUCCUUGUAAUCCUUAUUUUCGUGAUCCUUUAUAUAAAAGUUUUAAGUAUAAAUUUAUGUUUGAACUGAGCUUAAG